GCCGGAUUAGCUCAGUUGGUAGAGCGCCCGCCUUGUAAGCGGAUGGUCCCUGGUUCGAUUCCGGGAUCCGGCA
rnacentral:tRNA from 1 species